rnacentral:rRNA from 1 species
UACGUAGGGUGCAAGCGUUAAUCGGAAUUACUGGGCGUAAAGCGUGCGCAGGCGGUGAUGUAAGACAGUUGUGAAAUCCCCGGGCUCAACCUGGGAACUGCAUCUGUGACUGCAUUGCUGGAGUGCGGCAGAGGGGGAUGGAAUUCCGCGUGUAGCAGUGAAAUGCGUAGAUAUGUGGAGGAAUACCGAUGGCGAAGGCAGCCCCCUGGGAUAACACUGACGCUCAUGCACGAAAGCGUGGGGAGCAAACAGG